UUCCAACUGAGAAAUUAUAUAGAGUGAUGCUAACCUCUCAGAGGGCCAAAGUUCACCAGGCAUCAUCAAUUUAAUAUCUGGAUGGUCUCCAGAUCCCCAGAAUGGAGUGGCUCUAGGCAUUUGAGGUCUGCCCUGACUUCUUAAUGCAACAUCCACAUCGCACUCAUCAGGUAUGGAGGAGACAUUGGAUUGAUGGAGAAGCAAACAAACUGGGCAGAGACACCUACCAAGAACGACCUCUGGCAGCGGAGAGAUGGAUGACAGCAGUGUACUGGGCCUUUUGGCAUCUUGACAUGGCUACAGCUAUUUUCUGGUUCGGUGGAAAUAAUACUGAAAAUUUCUACAACUGUGUGCAGACAUCCCCACCGUGGGUUGGACAGAUGAGAACAAUUUGUUCUAAUAGCCAUGAAGGCAACUGAAGCAGAUGUUGUGGUGCUCUUCAAGCAUGGUCAAACAAGGAAGACUGCUUGCAUCUUGGGACUCUCCGGUCAUCCUGACUUUUGUCAUCCUCUGGGACUUUGUUGACUCUUCAAGAGAGAAUGAAGCUGACAAGUUGGUGCAACUCUGUUUCACUGAAAUCCACUUCAAUCACAAAUCAAGUUAUCACCUCAUGAUGUCAUUGGUCCUCUUCUAAAAUGAAGGAUGAACAACUGAAAAUUUCAGUCAAACUCUACCUUAGACUCUUGUAGCCUUGCAACUCUAUUUAACCAAUAACUUCCAUUAUCUUCCUACUGAAAAGAAAAAAGAAAAAUCCUACCUGGAGUAUGUAUAAGUGUGUUUUGGGAUGAAGGGACUAAAAGAGGUUGAAUAGAGGAUGGGAUUCCAUAGGACGGAUCUCCAAGAACUUUAAACAAAAGAUUAUCUUGAAGGCAGCUUUUCCUUUCCAGCCCUAAUUAUUGCUCCAAGCAUCUCAACUGGGACCAAUUGGGACACUGACACCAGAAGGGGCUUCCAGAUUUUCCCCAGGUCACACAGUCAGUGGACUGCUGGCUGUGACAUAUUUGUGCUAACCACAACCUACUCAGGGAUCAAACCCCUUUUGGCCCUAGGAUUGUCACCUUUCUUGCAACAAAGGGUUUGGCCCAGUCUUCCCACCCACCAGGGGCAUUUUGCUUCGCCAAGCUGAACGUCUCUUGCUUAUUUCCUUUGAUGCUUUGGAAGCUGACUCAGAAACCCCACCAUGAGUUGUGACUUUGAUCCAUGUAAUAGAAUCAGGCAGAAGGAGACGCUCACAUGUGCCGAAAAUCCGGGUUGGAAGCCCACGUGGGGAAGGCGUGCGCUUUCAGUGUUUAAUGAGGGCAAGUUCUGGACAAACUGGGAAAUGGAGACUGAAAGAUGUAAACAGGAGAAGAUUAUCGCUAGAUUUUUAUAAUUGUCUGACAAAGCCCUCAGGGAAUGUGGAUAGUGACCAGAGGAGGGCCUCUCUCUCCCAUCAGAUGAUUAUUUGGGCUUGGCAGACAGAGUAGCGGUUUCUUGUCUUUCUCCAAUAAAGUUUAAUGUUCAAAGAAGAUUUUUUUAAA
rnacentral:lncRNA from 1 species